rfam:Lachnospiraceae bacterium 3-2 genomic scaffold acPFJ-supercont1.1, whole genome shotgun sequence.
AACGAGAUUUGCCAUGAGAAGUCAGCAGAAGUCAUAGUACCAUGGCGGUUUCAAACAUCAUGGGAAGGAC